rnacentral:rRNA from 1 species
AGAGUUUGAUCAUGGCUCAGAUUGAACGCUGGCGGCAUGCCUUACACAUGCAAGUCGAACGGUAACAGGUCUUCGGAUGCUGACGAGUGGCGAACGGGUGAGUAAUACAUCGGAACGUGCCCAGUAAUGGGGGAUAGCUCGGCGAAAGCCGGAUUAAUACCGCAUACGCCCUGAGGGGGAAAGUGGGGGACCGCAAGGCCUCACGUUAUUGGAGCGGCCGAUGGCUGAGUAGCUAGUUGGUAGGGUAAAGGCCUACCAAGGCGACGAUCAGUAGCUGGUCUGAGAGGACGAUCAGCCACACUGGGACUGAGACACGGCCCAGACUCCUACGGGAGGCAGCAGUGGGGAAUUUUGGACAAUGGGGGAAACCCUGAUCCAGCAAUGCCGCGUGUGCGAAGAAGGCCUUCGGGUUGUAAAGCACUUUUGUCAGGGAAGAAAUCCUUUGGGCUAAUACCCUAGGGGGAUGACGGUACCUGAAGAAUAAGCACCGGCUAACUACGUGCCAGCAGCCGCGGUAAUACGUAGGGUGCAAGCGUUUAUCGGAAUUACUGGGCGUAAAGCGUGCGCAGGCGGUUGUGUAAGACAGGUGUGAAAUCCCCGGGCUUAACCUGGGAAUUGCAUUUGUGACUGCACGACUAGAGUGUGUCAGAGGGGGGUGGAAUUCCACGUGUAGCAGUGAAAUGCGUAGAUAUGUGGAGGAACACCAAUGGCGAAGGCAGCCCCCUGGGAUAACACUGACGCUCAUGCACGAAAGCGUGGGGAGCAAACAGGAUUAGAUACCCUGGUAGUCC